UGAUGAAAAUACAGCGUGGGAUUUUCACAUACUUUACUCCUGGGGGAAUUCUGCACCACUGCACAUGAGCAGCAAUGCAUCCCCCGCAUCCCUCCCCCACAGAUUCACUUUGCUUCCUGCAGAAAAAUGGUUUCUGUGGGGAAGCAAAGAGAAGCUGCAUCAGUGCUCUCUCACCCCGCCUCAGCAGUAUGGGUGCAUCUGUUCUGACAGCUGGGGAAGAGGGUGGGGAAAAUCCAAUGGAAAGUGGAACAAGGAACUGGGGUGGGUGAAAACCCAGCUUCUGAAGACCAGGAAAGAGUGAGGCAGAACCUGUUGGGGUGCUGACAGAAACUCAACUCCCAAAGGUUGGGAUGUCUGAAAUAAGCUAAGUCUACAGGUUUGUACAACAGAUUGUGGAUGCUACCAGAAAAAGCUACAUGAAUAAUACAGUGCGGACAAAGUCCACAGGCUAUGCAUACAGACACUGGAAGCUUUGGAUCAGUUAUGAGAAGGUAAAAGUACAAGAAAAAUUUGGUCCAGCAGAUUGAAGAGGAGGGCAGAGCACCAGAAACUCCCAAAAUCUGUUUCCAGUAUGUUGGUUUAACAUUUUGCUUUCUACAGUAUUGUAGGCUACUGGCCUGUCUCCCCAGCUCAAGAACAAAUUGACACCACACCCCAGCCCUUUGCCUCAGGGCUUCUGAUUUCUUUCUUUCAAACACCAUAAAUUCAGCACUUCAAUUGUCCCUUCCCCAGUAACCUGAGGUCUUUUGCAGUUGCACCUAUUCUAUACAUGACAGGUUUCAGAGUAGCAGCCGUGUUAGUCUGUAUUCGCAAAAAGAAAAGGAGUACUUGUGGCACCUUGGAGACUAAAAUUUAUUUGAACAUAAGCUUUCGUGAGCUGUACCUCACGAAAGCUUAUGCUCAAAUAAAUUUGUUAGUCUCUAAGGUGCCACAAGUACUCCUUUUAUUCCAUACAGAUUCCCUGCUCUGUUGCCUGCCAUAGGAUCCAACCUGCUUCCUGUAGCUUUCCUCCCUCAACUAAGACCUUUCAGCCUUUAUUAGGAACCAAGUGCUUGUGAGGCAAACUACAAGGCCCCAACUUGUUCUUAACAGGGCUCUGCCUCAGAACAGGGUUGACUGGCCCCAGGUCCCAUGGCGUAAAAAGGGGCAGACUACCCUGUUUCGCCCUUUUACUCAAGGAUCUCAGAAUGCCUUAACUAUGCCUUACAAGUCAUCUGUCUGGUAGAAAAGCAUUAUCCACAUUUUAAAGAUGGAAAAACUAAGAAUCAGAGAGGUUAAGUAACCUUCUCAAAGCCUCAGAAGUCUGGUCACAAUCAGAAUUAGCAGCCAGCUCUACUUUCUCCUUGUUCGGUACCUACUCUGCUAGAUUGCAUUGCCUCCCAUGCAAGGAACGACCUUUCAACACCCAAAUUCCUAUCUGCAAAAGGAGGAAGCUUACCUACCUCAUUAGAAGAGUUGGAAAGCAAGUGUUAAGAACUUUGAUAAGAGCAUCAUGUGAGUGCUUAGUGUUACUAUUUUUGAAAAAAAUCCAGAAAAACAGGGAAUUCAACAUUCAUAUAAUAAUUUUUUUAAAAAAACAGAAAAAUACUGGAAAGUAUGGAAAGUAAUACCCCCCAAGAACCUUACCUCUGGUUCUUGCAUACUUGUGUACCCCCUCCUUGUAAAUUAGAUAUCUAUCAAGUAUCUCAGCUGUCUUAGAUGUUAAAAACCUACAGACACUUUGGAGUUAAGAAAGUGUUAAAGACCUCUAUGUUAUGGCAAUUCACUAGUUGAGUCUUCAGCCCAUUCCACUACUUUACACAGGUGAUAAAUACAGAGUUUAGGGCAGGGGUGGGCAAACUUUUUGGCCCGAGGGCCACAUCGGGGUGCAAAACUGUAUGGAGGAUCAGGUAGGGAAGGCUGUGCCCCCCAAACAGCCUGGCCCC